rnacentral:rRNA from 1 species
GACGAACGCUGGCGGCGCGCCUAACACAUGCAAGUCGAACGAGCGAGAGAGAGCUUGCUUUCUCAAGCGAGUGGCGAACGGGUGAGUAACGCGUGAGGAACCUGCCUCAAAGAGGGGGACAACAGUUGGAAACGACUGCUAAUACCGCAUAAGCCCACGACCCGGCAUCGGGUAGAGGGAAAAGGAGCAAUCCGCUUUGAGAUGGCCUCGCGUCCGAUUAGCUAGUUGGUGAGGUAACGGCCCACCAAGGCGACGAUCGGUAGCCGGACUGAGAGGUUGAACGGCCACAUUGGGACUGAGACACGGCCCAGACUCCUACGGGAGGCAGCAGUGGGGAAUAUUGCACAAUGGGGGAAACCCUGAUGCAGCGACGCCGCGUAGAGGAAGAAGGUCUUCGGAUUGUAAACUCCUGUUGUUGAGGAAGAUAAUGACGGUACUCAACAAGGAAGUGACGGCUAACUACGUG